UACGUAGGGGGCAAGCGUUGUCCGGAUUUAUUGAGCGUAAAGAGCGUGUAGGCGGCCAUACAGGUCAGCUGUGAAAACUCGAGGCUCAACCUCGAGACGUCGGUUGAAACCGUAUGGCUAGAGUCCGGAAGAGGAGAGUGGAAUUCCCGGUGUAGCGGUGAAAUGCGCAGAUAUCGGGAAGAACACCCGUGGCGAAGGCGGCUCUCUGGGACGGUACUGACGCUGAGACGCGAAAGCGUGGGGAGCGAACAGG
rnacentral:rRNA from 1 species